GCCUGGGUGGCUCAGUCAGUUGAGUGUCUGACUUCGGUUCAGGUCAUGAUCUUGUUUGUGAGUUCGAGCCCCACAUUGGGCU
rnacentral:tRNA from 1 species